rnacentral:misc_RNA from 1 species
GACUUUCAAGUCUAAGAGUGUUAUUAAACAGGUUGAUUCUUUAAGGAAAGUGGCCAUGUUUGUGCAUUCUGCUCUUUCCUUUUUACUAGGAAUCGGAAAGUGUUGUGGCAUACAAUAUUAAGAAAUAUGUUAUAAUUUCUUCGUCCAACAUAUGAAGAAUUUUUUUACAAGUAACAUUUAAAAUGUAUACACCCGCUAAGCAGAUAACUGUUGGCUAGUAUGUUGUAUCCAGGCCAUGGAUUCCUUGUAUUAAUUCAUUUAGCUUCUCCAUACGAAAAUUAAAGUGUUAAUAUAUAAACCACACUAUUUAUUGUUAGAGGAAUGUUUUCCUACGGUUACUAUGAUUGAAAGAUUCAGGAAGGCAGGGCAUAGUUAUAUAUGAAAAAGCCACAAUUGUAAGGCAUACUUUUGUUUUGGACAGAUUUUGAAGGACUCAAAAGUCAAACUA